GGAGGUGGGGGGAGGAAUGAAAGCCAAACCCGAGGCAACUUUUCUGCGUUUCUCUCCCGUUUUCCUGGGUGGAAGGUUUCUAACUCUUCCAGCGCCGUUCGCGCAAAGAAUGACACCGUGGAGCUAAGCGGCACUUUUAAAUGGGGAAAGACGUGAAUUUCUGGAGCCGUGAGAAGAGCUUUCCCCUCUCCGAAGGGGGCUCCUCGGCCGGGUGGAUCUUUGUUUGCCGCCGGAGGCUCGGCUCACCCCCUUAGACCCUGACAAAGGUGAAGAAAUAUUUAGACAUCGCAGACAGACCACAGGGAGGGACAAUCACAAGAAGCGAGCAGUGUAUGGCUAGUGACCUGUCUUCCCGAGGAGAAUGGCCAAGAUGUCUGUUUGGAAUUAUUCCUGGGAUUAGACCAGCAUGAGGUCUCCUCUACCAAUCUGAGGAUGGAUGCAGUGGCCAGAAUGCCCCCCAGGCAGUCGCCCCUAACCUAAAGCCAUCAGUGCAGACCUUAUUCACCCUGGAUGUGGGAAGGGUAUCUUCCCAAUGAAAGAUUGACACAUUUGAAUGAGGGAGUCUAUUCUUAGAUUUAAGUCUCACGUGAAAGUCCCUCAAGUGGAGAUUUUUACUCAGAGAGCUCUCUUCUGUGAGGAGAGUGCUCACACAUACGAGUUUUGGCAAGGAUGGGCCCUCAGACCGCUGUGAGAAUCCUUCCAUGGAUAAAGUUAGUGAGGGGAAAUGGAGUUUUUGAACUGACUCUCAACACUUGAUGCACAUUUGGCCGGAGGCCAAGGUGAAUCAGAAUAAACAUCCAGAAGAAAAUGCCAAAUACAAGAAAAUAACAGCAACUUAAUAUGAUUUAAUACCAAUAAAGUGAUUAAGGUGAGAUAUCUUAGCUGCAUUCCAUAAAAGCACUUAAGAUGGAUUGCUGGAAAUACAUCUACAGUCUGGAAUGCUUUGGAAACAAAAUAUUUAGCAACAAAAAAGAAAAAUUGAUUUUUAUCUGCACCAAGGAAUAUUUUGAAGGCAGAAAUUGUUGAAAAACUGUAUAGUGAGAUGUGUGGUUUGCACUGCUUUGGGGGCAGGGACAGUUCUGCUUUUGGACACCACAUGGCACAAAAAAAAGUCCCUGAGAGGGCGCUCUACUGGAAUGUAAAAUAGGUAAAAAUCCAACUCUCAGUUUACUUCCAUCAUUGUUCUAAUUUUUUUUCAAGGAUUCAUCAAUCAUCCCCAGCCUCUGAGCAAAUCCAAUAAGGCACCUUUGGCACAUGCAGUGUUUCUAGCGCUUGCAAAAUUGUGAAGUGGGUGUUUUUCAUCCUGGAGUACCAUUCUUGAGUCCUGAAGUCGGACCUGUGCAGGGAAAACCUGGAGGGUGCUCAGAGACUGCUAAUUUAAGUCCAUCAUCAGGGACCUGUUCAUUAACCCAUGCAGGUCCAAGUACUUCACCGGGUUCUUCAAGUUGGAGUAAGUCUACUGAGCUGAUACAGACUUAAAGCAAAUGGAAGAUUAAAAAGGUUCAAUAUGCUCUUGAGAUGCACAUACAACCACUGCACCAAAAGUUAUUUUGCUUGCUUACUUACCAACUUAUUUAUUUAUUUUAGGUGGGAUUUAACAGUAACUUUUACUUGAGCCCCUUCAUGAUUUACCUGUUGCGCUGUGUACCGAAAAUACAGCUCUUCUAUCAAGUUGCUAUUCGCUUGCUUUGUUGCUUUUAGCUCCAUGGGCCCCAGUGGACAAAUCAGUUCAUGACAUUAUUUCAUUCUAAACAUAUAUAAACUCCAGAAACAGGAUAAUUUACAGCCAUUCACAAUUUUGAAAUGGAAAUCAACAGGGAAAAGCCAUAACCAGGACCUAAAGCAUGAUUUUCCUAUUUUCUAAUAUUUAUAAACUAUAUCUUAGAAUUAAAAUACUUUGUUUCUAUGAAAAGUGGUUAUGUAUAUUUCAUUCUUUAAAGGUUUCUUAGAGAACUAUGUUCAUUUUCUCUAUGAAAUUAUUGUUUUUUCAAAAUUUCUUGCUUUAUCAUUGCAUUUCUUAUGCUCAGCAAUAAUAUUAUAGCUUUAUAUAUUUUUCAAUGAAAACCCUCUUGGCAGUUUCAGCUCACCUGUAUUUUUAUUGCUAGCUUAAAUUAAUUUUUCAAGUGUAGAGUUUAGCUUUUUAGAAAUCCUGUACAUCCUUUUCAGACAAAAUCUUUGUUGAAGUUGCAUGAAGCAAAGAUUAGAAACCUGAGGUGUGAGAUUAGCUCUGUGCAUGUGUGUAACGCAGCCUCCAAUCAUUUUUGAUGCCAUGUCCUCCUGGCUAUUCAGAGCACUUUUCCCACCAAUACAAUCUGACUUUUGAUGUAAUUAAUAUAUAGUUCUUUCCCAAUUUUUGUAAUAAAAUAAACAACUCAUAUUGGUUAAACAUAACUCUUUGGUUGGAUUCCUAAAUUCUUUAAAAUUCCCAUUCCUAGGCCUUUCAGGAAGUUCAGCUGAUGAAAAAACUCCUCUUUUUGAUCCUGAUCUAUUUUAAUUUGGGUAUUAUGGUAAUGGGUAAGUUCUGUGCAAGCCUAUCCUGUCACAAUAGAAGAAUUAAAAAUAGCAAAGUACUAUUAAUUUUUAAAAAGUUUUUUUAGGCGUUUGGGACCACACAAUAUACGACCACAGCAUGUCCGUCCCUGUUUGUAGGAUAAAUGGCUUUGAGAGGUGUGAAUUUAUUUCUGUGUAUCACAACUGUUUUGGAAAGGGUUUUCAAAGACCCAUGGUGGCAGUGGUGGGAUACAAGGUGCCUUUGGCACUGCAUCUUCACAGGCUGGGCAGAGCUAUGGUGCUCAUUUUGGAGAACAGUGAAGCAGCAUGGACUUCCAGCUACAUUUCCAUGCAAGGAACUAUUGAGGGUGUCAGACCAACUGCAGGUCACAGCCAAAAGAGGGAAAUCUGCCCACGGACACCCAUUCUGCUCCCCAUUUACUCUGAGUCUUUCUGCCCACCUCUAAAUGCUCCAGUUAAUUGCCAACGUAGUGCUGAGCAGUGAAUAACCCAUGCUGGCUAAAGGGCUGCUGAGUCUUGCUUCAACUUUAGAAGAGAGAAAAGCAAGGACCAAACUAUGACUCUAAUGAUGCCUCUUCAGAGCACCGUCCAUGGGAGCUCAUUUAAUGCUGCUUGCUUAGGAAUAACUCAUGGGACAAGUGAACCUGGCUCCAAAUUUGUAGUGGAUAUUGUGCAACAGAAAGCAAAAAGGCAAAGAGCACAAAAUUUGGACCGCAAGUGUAUGCAUACAGUGAGACCAUUUGAGGACAAAAUUAGUCCCACUUUAUUUAACAGAAAUCCAGAAGAUAAACGUGUAUUGAUCAUCAGCCUACUGGGAGGAUGAAGGCAAUACCACCAAUAUCAAGCAUUGUGCAAUUGAUUAGCCAUAGAACCCACUUCUGUUACAUGCCACUCCACCAUAUGAGUCAGCCCAAACCCACUCAUUUUUGUAUUGCCCUUUCCACGGAUAUUUUCAUCUCUGUGUCAGUGAAUUGAAGAGUUAAUAAAAUUUCACUGCUGGAAGAGGUCAUUUUGCAACUAAAUGCAGCAGUUCAAAGUGGGAAAUGGAAGGAAAACCAAGGAGAUGUUUAAAGAGGUGGCAUUCUGGAGGCACUCCUUGAAAAACAUUUGCAGAAUUGUUUGAUUGCUUUAGAGCAUGCAGGAAACAAUAAACCCAACACAGAAAUAGCACUGAUGCUCACAGUUGCAUUCAGCUCAAACAUCACCAUUCCACUUGGAAUUACAAAUAAACCUGAUACUGAAUUACCUAAUACCAUGGAAAUUUUCCUGUGUGUUUUUCAUAGAAAAAUGCCCCCAAAAAGGGCACUUCCUUCAGCCUAAAUAUGAAGAAGGUAAGACCUGAAUCUGCAUAUUCAUAUUAAAACAUUUGCAGGAUUCACCAGCCUUAAGAUCUGUGUUUAAACAGUACAGAACUCCAAUUUAACUAUAUCUCAGACCAGCUAGAUCUUACAUUUUUGUCUUCUGACAGCAACUAUAGAAGAGUAGAGUUAGAAACCAUCAAUAUACAUGUGUUGUUUUUAUCUAAAAGAAGCAUGCUGAUGUAACUGGCUUUGCAUGUCAAUGUGUGGGCUCCAGUGUCUACCACUCAAGCACAACGUUCUCUUCACCUUCUAACUCUCAGCAUGCAACAUACAGAAUUCAAUAUUUCACCCAAUUAUUCUUGGAAGAGCAAGAAAUCAUAGAUAUCUAACUGCAUUGGAAUUGACUGUGCUGCUGGAAGGAGUGUGGUUUUUUUGUUAGUCUUGUUGCCAUCAAUGGGUACCAAUCAAAUCAGAUAAUCUAAAUAGCAGCAGAAAAAAUAAAAAGUAGAUGCUAGUUCUUUUCUUUUUUUAUUUAAUAACUCCAAUUAAUAAAAUUCCUUAAUUGUU